ACCCGGGACACCCUGUAUAGUAGAAUAAAUAUUUUAUUUAGUAAGGGGGGAGGGUCAAGUAAAAUGACCAAAAAAUUGAUUUUUUUUGCUUAAAUCAAUAGUUUUUGAUGUAUAGAAUAUGCUCCUACACUUUUAGAAUGAAAUUCGAACUCUAAAUGUCGUUAUAGCGUCGGUUUUAGUGACGCGCUCCGGCCGGGCGCCAAGCGCGGGUAUACGAGCGCACGUACAGGCGUUUUAUCUUUCGGUCCCUUGGCAUAAUAUCUUUAGGAUGUUUGCUAUUUUGACGAUUGAUAGUCAGUAACAGUAACAGUAUAUAUCUAUAGGUGGUGGUUGCUUUGAUAAGAUAGCGUCCCGAGAUGAACAAAGGAAAGAUCGUGCUCUCAUUGUCAGUAUUUCUGCGUCAUUCGUGUCAAGCAGUCGUUUUACAUUUCAUUUUUGAACUUUGCAAACGUGAAAAUGAGUAGAAAAGUAAGUGCCGAUGAACCUAAUUAUCGCCCAAAUUAUCCACAUCGACGAAAAUUUCGUGGGAAUCAGUUUAAAACGAUAGGAGCGGCGCAGCCUCGAGAGCACCAAAGAGGCAAGGACAGCUCGUAAAGAGGAACAAGCGGCUUUGCUCGAGCAAUUCGAGGAAAAGGAAGGUCUAUUGUAUGGACCUGGCAUCGCAGACUGAUAUAAAUCAACUAUGAUUACAGCGGUCUCUGCGAUCCACGGCGCGUUCGUGAGGAGGCAACUUCAACCAGCUACUGCUCAAUGAAUUUUCAUUAUUUUUACAUAAAAAAUUCCUAUGUGCAGUUUAAAUACUAUAUAAAAACAUGCACUAAUUUUCAAAACAAUCGAUUUAUUCUCUUCGAAAAAAAAUCGCAAAAUUUAGGUCAUUUACUUGACCCUCCCCCCUUAAUACAAUGUAAAAUAUUAAAGAGAAAAAUUUAGCUACCCGCGGUAUAACCACAAAUUUUACAUUUUGUCCGCCAAACAAUCUAGUUGCGUAUCCCUGCUCUAUGUCCAUAAUGUACGGAGCAUCCAUCAUGUGGGUACUAUAUUUUACUCGGUGAAUAUUCAAUUGUACAUCCUCUAAUAACAUUCCGAGAUCGUUGCGUA